GUUUUUAUCAUUGCCUGAGCGGCAUGAUCACAUCACAAGCUUGGGAAGCUUGGCUACAAACAAUAUAGAAGUAUAUGGGUAUAUUACAGUUUAAAUUGUUUGAUUAAUCAGAAAAAAAGGUGCAAACAUUUUUUUAUCACGAUCAUAUUUGGUUCUGAAAAAUAUUUCACCGUGUAAGAUAUAACAAAAAUGUUUGUGCUUGCGGAAUUAAAAGAUACUGUCAGGGUAUUACCGAGCAACUUUAAAUACAAACUAAAUGAUAUUGUUGCUGACGAAUUAAACAGAAAACUCGCUAAUAAAGUUUACAAGGAUGUUGGUCUUUGCAUUGUGUUGCAUGAUAUUACGAAGAUCGAAGAAUCGUAUAUUUUUCCAGGAGACGGAGCUUCUCAUACAAAAGUGACAUUUCGAUUUAUCGUGUUUCGUCCAUGGAUAGAAGAAAUAUUGAUAGGAAAAGUUCGUAGUUCUAGCUCCGAGGGUGUACAUGUUACAUUAGGAUUCUUUGAAGAUAUAAUUAUACCACCACAUAAAUUACAACACCCAUCACAUUUUAAUCAAACGCAACAAAUGUGGUUUUGGGUAUAUAAGACUGAAGAUGGAACGGAACAUAACUUAUAUAUGGAAACAGGAGAUGCUAUACGAUUCAGAGUAGUGGAGGAGAUUUUUGCAGAGGCACCUUUACCAUCUACAGGUAAUGCUCGUGAUGUAGGUGAAGAAACCAAUAAUGUUGCACCAUAUGUCUUACAUGGAUCAAUUGAUGAACCUGGUUUGGGUUUACUUAUUUGGUGGAAAGAUGUAUAAUUUAUUUUAUACAUUAGUGAGAAUUCUAAAUAAAAUAAAGGUGCAAUAGUGAAUCUCGAUUCUCCAUCUACACACGUAUUAUCAAACGAAUAACAGGAAUCAUGUAUUUAUGAAUCGAUCAUGAAUAGAUUGCUGAGGGUAAAAAUGGCUUGGAAUGUUACCUUCUGUGUAAUCAGUAUCUGCUACAUACUUUCUUUCAAGCAACAUGUGUAAUGUGUUGCAGCUAUAAUCGUCAAAAAUGGGACAAUAUGCAUUUGUAAAUGAAGCGCGUUCAGUGGAGAUAUUACAUUCCUCAUUUAACAUCGUUUAUUCGAUGAUUAGGCAACGCGGUAGAUGUUCACGUAGGUAAUCAAACAAUUCUCGCGAUGUUCCUGGACAAUUAGUUAGUUCUAACUCAUGUAAAUGUCGAAGCUGUAUUAGACUGGAUAAACCGCUACU